rnacentral:rRNA from 1 species
AAACCAACAGGGAUUGCCUUAGUAACGGCGAGUGAAGCGGCAACAGCUCAAAUUUGAAAUCUGGCCUCCUUUGGCGGUCCGAGUUGUAAUUUGCAGAGGGUGCUUUGGUGUCGUCGGCGGUCUAAGUUCCUUGGAACAGGACGUCACAGAGGGUGAGAAUCCCGUUUGUGAUCGCCAGCCUUCACCGUGUAAAGCCCCUUCGACGAGUCGAGUUGUUUGGGAAUGCAGCUCUAAAUGGGAGGUAAAUUUCUUCUAAAGCUAAAUACCGGCCAGAGACCGAUAGCGCACAAGUAGAGUGAUCGAAAGAUGAAAAGCACUUUGGAAAGAGAGUCAAAUAGCACGUGAAAUUGUUGAAAGGGAAGCGCUUGCAGCCAGACUUGCCCGUAGUUGCUCAUCCGGACUUUUGCCCGGAGCACUCUUCUGCGGGCAGGCCAGCAUCAGUUUGGGCGGCUGGAUAAUGGCCUCUGUCAUGUAUCUCCCUUCGGGGUGACCUUAUAGGGGAGGCGUAAUGCAGUCAGCCCGGACUGAGGUCCGCGCUUUUGCUAGGAUGCUGGCGUAAUGGCUGUAAGCGGC